AUUGAACGCUGGCGGAAUGCUUUACACAUGCAAGUCGAACGGUAGAGGGGGCAACCCCUUGAGAGUGGCGAACGGGUGAGUAAUAUAUCGGAACGUGCCCAGUCGUGGGGGAUAACGUAGCGAAAGUUACGCUAAUACCGCAUACGAUCUACGGAUGAAAGCGGGGGACUCGCAAGAGCCUCGCGCGAUUGGAGCGGCCGAUAUCAGAUUAGGUAGUUGGUGGGGUAAAGGCUCACCAAGCCAACGAUCUGUAGCUGGUCUGAGAGGACGACCAGCCACACUGGAACUGAGACACGGUCCAGACUCCUACGGGAGGGCAGCAGUGGGGG
rnacentral:rRNA from 1 species